CCCAGGAUUGUGACCCGUUUUGCUGACUGAAAGUAGUGUUGGGCUCUCAUUAAAUCUCCUUGUUUUUCCUUUCUUAACAGAGAUUGGUGCUGAGCCAAAUGACAAAAUCUAUGUCAAAGUGGUCCAGCAGGUCCAUACUGAGAGAGCUUGUCAACGAGCAGCAGCUCAAGCUCCUCUCCAGGCUGGAGGUCCUCUUAGAAGAGCAGGUCCCAGCACAGGGGGAAGACCUUCCCCUGCCGUGUGCCCCCGCUCUGUCUCCAACACCCUGGCUGGAUAUAAACGCAAGGCCUUGGAGGAAGGGAAACCAACAGCAGCUCAGCAGCCUUCCAAUAAGAGAGUGAGGGGGCCGAGUGGAGACGGCGUGCCGGCUCCAGCAGCACACCCUGGGCCUGCUGCUGCUCGGAGCUCCAAGCAAAGAGGUGAGAAGGUGCUGUGGUACCCGCCGUGCUGAGGCGCUUCCCUGUGCGAGCACACUG
ensembl:lncRNA